CCUACGGGUGGCUGCAGUCGAGAAUCAUUCACAAUGGGGGAAACCCUGAUGGUGCGACGCCGCGUGGGGGAAUGAAGGUCUUCGGAUUGUAAACCCCUGUCAUGUGGGAGCAAAUUAAAAAGAUAGUACCACAAGAGGAAGAGACGGCUAACUCUGUGCCAGCAGCCGCGGUAAUACAGAGGUCUCAAGCGUUGUUCGGAAUCACUGGGCGUAAAGCGUUCGUAGGCUGUUUCGUAAGUCGUGUGUGAAAGGCGCGGGCUCAACCCGCGGAUGGCACAUGAUACUGCGAGACUAGAGUAAGGGAGGGGGAAACGGAAUUCUCGGUGUAGCAGUGAAAUGCGUAGAUAUCGAGAGGAACACUCGUGGCGAAGGCGGGUUCCUGGACAUUAACUGACGCUGAGGCACGAAGGCCAGGGGAGCGAAAGGGAUUAGAUACCCGUGUAGUC
rnacentral:rRNA from 1 species